GAUAAGGCUAUACUACUUCUGUUGUUUAAAUCCAAAGCAACAUCAAAAAGAAUUUCUCUAUGUGUGAAAUUAAGCUUAAUUAUUAAGUUCCUUAAAUUUGUUUUGUCUCCAUCAUAAUGGGUAUGGCAAGGUUUAGGAGUUGGAGGUAAGGUUUAGGAAUGGAGGGUACAUUUUCAAACAUGUUAAUUUAUUUUAAGGCUGUGGUAGGACCAUGCAUAUGCAUUAAUCUGUAAUUAGGUAGCCACAUAUUUCUAGGUAGGCAGCAAUAUACAUGAGAAUUUCCUUUUUUAUCACUAUCGCUAAGUUUCUUAGUGGCUAAGUCCUUAUUCCUUAAUAAGGUGUCAAAAUAGUGAAUUAUUAAACUUAUGAUUAUUGAACCUAGUUUGCUUGCAUUCAAAUUCCCAUGUCUCUAAUACAUCCUCAUGUUGCCAUGAGGUUACUUUCCUUAAACUUUACUUAUUGCACCUGUUUACCCUGUUGAAAACACCUUCAGAGGCUCUCAUUGCUUAAUGAAUCAUAUCCGACUCUAUAAUAGCAUUUCAGUGCUCUUCACUGUCUACCACCAUGUAUGUUUCUAAUUAUAACAGCACCCCUUGAUCCAUCCCCUUACACACCCAAAGUAUCGAAUACUCUCUCAUCUCAUAGUACCUCAAUACUUUUUCUUACUCUCACCCCUUCACAGAAUCCUGAGGCUGUCCCAUGACUCUUCACUCAUUAUGCUUCCUGAAUGCCAAGAUGCCCUGCAGAAAGACUGUGUUGUCAGAAAUUGGAGCUGAAGUUUCUCAAGGCAGCUGGCCAACCAGGUGACAGUUCUGGAUGCCAGAAUUCUUCAAUCCAGCUGUUGGCAAGACUGGUCCCUCCUGGAGGCUCUGAAGAAGAAUUUGUUCCAUGCUUUUAAGAAGUCUCUCUCCUAGCUUCUGAUGGCUACUGUGGCUGCAGAGUUCAAGUUGGGCCUUCCUUGGCUAUUUGCCAUCCCAAUGCCAAUUAGUGUACACAGAGCCUGGAUUCUUCUCCAGCCAGGAGGGGCAUGGUUACAGCCUGGCCUCAUCAUCAGAAGGUGCCUGGCUACUUCAAGAGUUGAGCUAAUCACAGGGAAGAUUUGGUCUCAGUUCAGCUGCCUCAUUUGAUCAACUCAAGACUGAGUCCAACAAAAGUGGUCUGUCUAAUGAAACUCAUUUUCAUUUUUUCUCAUUAGUCUAUACACGACUGAGACUGUAAAAGGACAAAAGAAUAAAAAGAAAAAUGACAAUUAAAAAUCA
rnacentral:lncRNA from 13 species